UUUUCAAGUUGGCUGAUCCUGCCUGGCUCUGCAGGACACGCUGCUCCUUAUUGCAAUGAAGACCUCUGGAAGGAUUUGGGGAGUGCUAAUGAUUUUGUGUGUCCCCAACACUGAAGAUCUUUCUGGGGAAAAAACCCCAAAACCCAGGCAAUAACAACCCAACUGGAAACUUAAGAAACUCCAUAUUCUGAAUAAGAAUAUUUUAACAGUUUUUAGAAAUGCCCAAGGAGAACACAUUGUACCCUGCUCUGCCACUGUCACCACCGAAACCAUGCCAGCCUAAUGCAGAGUUUCUGCUCUUACAGGCUAAGAGGGGAUAAGACAGGCAGAUAUUUCUACCAGCCAAGUUUCACAAAAGGGAUGACACACUAGAGACCUCCAUGGAAAUUGUUGGUUGACUCCCUCCCACCAGAUGCAAGGAGGAGAACAGCAGUACCAAGAAGCUAAAUGGAGGUGUAACGUGGUCAUCAAUAAGAGAAUGCUUGUUUGUUGCCUUUUAUUCUCCUUCUUAUGCCUCUGAACUUUCGCAAUUUCAUGAACCCGCAACCAGGAGAAGGUGUUGGCAUCUUGAGGUUCCCCAGACACCUUCCAAGGCUGAGCCUCACCUUUGUCAAGAUGCUUGGAGAGAAAUCUGAGUGAGCGCUCCCCUGCCAAGCAGCACCGCUCUGGUGGAGGCUGUGCAACCCUGAGAGAUGCUCCCACUGCUCCUGCCGAAAGGCUGGCAGCAGAUGGGCCAACAGGAGCCUUCAGGUCCACAUCUGCUGGGGAGCACCCUGCUCACAGGGAGUCUGGGACCAAUCGGCUCUUCCAGACGAUCAAAUGUCACUAUAAGUUGAGAGCUGCAUCACCUUGGGACGCUCGCAGAUCCCAGCCUGCCCGUUCCCUCUGACAGGGAGCUUGCUGCUUCUCUCCACUCCUCCCAGGAACUAAUUGCCAACAUGUCUGAUACCGAGGAAGUGGAGCAAGGAGAGGGUAAGUCUUAGAUCUGUCUGUAAUUGCUUCUGUGCAAGCCUGCAAUAUUUGCUGGCUGUGUCAGCUGGUAUGGUUAGACAAAUCUGAAG